GGGUAUAUAUAAUCAGUCAAAAUUAGUAAGGAAUAUACUCUAUACUAGAUUCAUUCUCUUCAUCAAAAAUAACAAAAGAUUCAUUCUCAUUACCUUAUUACUCCCUGUUGCAGACCAGGUUCUAAAUGUCAUGUUCAUCCACAUGAGAGGGGUAUAGUUGAUUUCCACCCUAUAUAUUUCCAUUCAAAUGAGGCUAGUGGAUCUAUGAAACCAAUUACUUAUGGUUCCAUAUAAUUAACGACAGUUGACCAAUCAAGAUUUAGAAGGACUCGAGUUACUGAGGGUG